rnacentral:piRNA from 1 species
UGUGAACAAUUAAGUGGAGAGAUGGA